rnacentral:sRNA from 1 species
UUUCAAGUAAAUUUUGAGGCCAUUAUUGAAUGGAGAACGUCCGUGAUAUAAAAUAAAACGGAAUCUGCUAGUGAACUUAGCUUGGGAAGAUCAGGCAAGCUUAUACACUAGUGAGAUAUGUUUAUGUCGAAGGGUUACGCAAGAUAAGACGAGAGCGAGCAAUGGGAGCUCAAGGACCUUUCGCAAAGUAACUUAUGAAAUAUUGACCUUCGAGGGAAAGAAGAUCAAGAUCGAAGUUAGAAAGUCUUCCUCUCUCCCAACUAUUCGUUAAUUUUUGUGGGUGGUUCCCUUUCCAUUUAUUUUACACAAGUGAUAUUAGGUAUCAGCGAGCUACGAUUAGAUACUAAAACAACACAUGACAAACCUUUCAUAUCUCCAACAUUCGUUGAACUCAUGUAAUAUAUGAUCGUUG